CAGCAGCCACGGUAAUACGUAGGUGGCAAGCGUUGUCCGGAAUUAUUGGGCGUAAAGGGCUCGCAGGCGGUUUCUUAAGUCUGAUGUGAAAGCCCCCGGCUCAACCGGGGAGGGUCAUUGGAAACUGGGAAACUUGAGUGCAGAAGAGGAGAGUGGAAUUCCACGUGUAGCGGUGAAAUGCGUAGAGAUGUGGAGGAACACCAGUGGCGAAGGCGACUCUCUGGUCUGUAACUGACGCUGAGGGGCGAAAGCGUGGGGAGCGAACAGGAUUAGAUACCCCCGUAGUCCCUGUCUCUUAUAC
rnacentral:rRNA from 1 species